AAAUAUUUUUUUUUACAUCGAAAAAACAUAACUUGACAAAUAAAGUUUUAACAUAAACUACAAACAAAUAAUGUAUUUCUGCCAAACUCCUGAGCACUUGGUACAGUCCAGGCCUAGUGGGAGGUACUUAAACCUGCUGCUGCGUCAGUCCAAUCUUUUCAUCGGGACCGCCCACAUCCAUGGACCAGGAACAGGGACUGCAAUAGAUCAGAAGACAGAGAAAAUCAAACGGCUGAUAUUUCUCUUCCUCAGCACAUGGGGAAAUGAAGCCUUUGAUGGCAUCGUAAUAUAUACAUUGUCAGUGAUAUCGCUUAAUUACACAGCUGCGGACAUGAGGCGCUAUCAUCUGUAUUUUGUUGAGCCUGCUUGGUAGCCAUUAUCUCACUGGACAUCAACGAGGCUGCUGUGACAAAGUGAGACAGGACGGCUCAGUGCCAGCCCUCUUGACCCCACCCCAGAGACCACCUCCAGCCAAUCAACAGUCUAAUCAACUGUUUGGAGAGACAAUCAGAGAGAACAGCACCACAGAGCAGAAAGAGGAGGGGUCUCCUCAAACGCUAUCCUCAAGGUCUGGUGAAAUGAUGGCAGAGCUCCGUCUGUUCAUUAUCCCAGGUCAAGACUCAAGCUCCUGAUAACAGAGCUAAGUGUGGAGUAGUCUGGCUGAAAAAAGAGGAAGUUUAGAUGGCUCGGAAACAAAGUGACAGGAUAUCUGCAUCUGUAAUGAGGCUAAGCCAUGGAAGAAGAAGAAGAAGAAGAAGAAUUGACAGAAUCAUUCCUUAUAUUGAUUUCAGAGGACAAGGAAAAGGAAUGGCUUCCAUCAGUGUUACCAAGGGUGAACAAAGACUUUUCAGAUGUUGUGCCUACGACCAGAGAUAAAUGUUUGACUGAAGGCCAGUCUCCCAGCUGCGGGAUCCUAAUGAUCUGCAGCCGUCACACUCCCAUAUCUCGUGUGCUACAUGAGGCCCUGUGACAUACUCAACGCUUUGGUCAGAGCACAGCUGUAUGUUGUGGCUCCAAUAUUUCUCUGCAGGUCACAACUAUGAUGCCCCACAAAAAUAAAUAAAAUAAUAAUAAUAAAAAUCCUAUUC